rnacentral:rRNA from 1 species
CAGAGAGUUUGAUCCUGGCUCAGGACGAACGCUGGCGGCGUGCUUAACACAUGCAAGUCGAACGAUGAAGCCCUUCGGGGUGGAUUAGUGGCGAACGGGUGAGUAACACGUGGGCAAUCGCCCUUCACUCUGGGACAAGCCUUGGAAACGAGGUCUAAUACCGGAUAACACUCCCAUCCUCCUGGAUGGGGGUUAAAAGCUCCGGCGGUGAAGGAUGAGCCCGCGGCCUAUCAGCUUGUUGGUGAGGUAAUGGCUCACCAAGGCGACGACGGGUAGCCGGCCUGAGAGGGCGACCGGCCACACUGGGACUGAGACACGGCCCAGACUCCUACGGGAGGCAGCAGUGGGGAAUAUUGCACAAUGGGCGAAAGCCUGAUGCAGCGACGCCGCGUGAGGGAUGACGGCCUUCGGGUUGUAAACCUCUUUCAGCAGGGAAGAAGCGAAAGUGACGGUACCUGCAGAAGAAGCGCCGGCUAACUACGUGCCAGCAGCCGCGGUAAUACGUAGGGCGCAAGCGUUGUCCGGAAUUAUUGGGCGUAAAGAGCUCGUAGGCGGCUUGUCACGUCGAUUGUGAAAGCUCGGGGCUUAACCCCGAGUCUGCAGUCGAUACGGGCUAGCUAGAGUGUGGUAGGGGAGAUCGGAAUUCCUGGUGUAGCGGUGAAAUGCGCAGAUAUCAGGAGGAACACCGGUGGCGAAGGCGGAUCUCUGGGCCAUUACUGACGCUGAGGAGCGAAAGCGUGGGGAGCGAACAGGAUUAGAUACCCUGGUAGUCCACGCCGUAAACGGUGGGCACUAGGUGUGGGCAACAUUCCACGUUGUCCGCGCCGCAGCUAACGCA